rnacentral:misc_RNA from 1 species
GAUGAAGAACGCAGCGAAAUGCGAUAAGUAAUGUGAAUUGCAGAAUUCAGUGAAUCAUCGAAUCUUUGAACGCACAUUGCGCCCGCUGGUAUUCCGGCGGGCAUGCCUGUUCGAGCGUCAUUUCAACCCUCAAGCUCUCCGGAGUUUGGUGUUGGGGCGCCUGGGGCUUUUCGACCUCAGGGCCCUCAAGUCCAUCGGCGGGACCGCCAGGACACUGAGCGCAGUAGUAUUAUUUCGCUCGGUAUGAUCUUCCACGGCGGGUCGAUCUGGCCGCUAAACCCCCCAAUUCUCACCAAAGGUUGACCUCGGAUCAGGUAGGAAUACCCGCUGAACUUAAGCAUAUCAAUAAGCGGAGGA